UACGUAGGGGGCUAGCGUUGUCCGGAUUUAUUGGGCGUAAAGGGUGCGCAGGCGGCCAAGUGUGUGAGGCGUGAAAGCCCGGGGCUUAACCCCGGAAUUGCACCUCAAACUACAUGGCUAGAGCAUUGGAGAGGGUAGCGGAAUUCACGGUGUAGCAGUGAAAUGCGUAGAUAUCGUGAGGAACACCAGAGGCGAAGGCGGCUACCUGGACAAUUGCUGACACUCAGGCACGAAAGCGUGGGGAGCAAAAGGG
rnacentral:rRNA from 1 species